GCCCCCCAUUUGAUUUCUUUUUCCACCAUUACCAAUGGUAAGUAACAGUAGGAAGGGUAAAGCUAAGGUUAGGGACGAAGAAGAUAGAGCCCCUAAUCCUUCUCGGGAUAGCCGACUGGCUGGUCUGGUUGGCGAUUCCCUUUUGGGAUCAAUAGUAGAGAUUUUCUCUCUGACUAAGUCUGCAGUCAUCCAUCUUCGAGAGUAGUAUAGCAUCCCAGAGU
rnacentral:lncRNA from 1 species